UACGUAGGGCGCAAGCGUUAUCCGGAAUUAUUGGGCGUAAAGAGCGUGUAGGCGGCCAGAUAGGUCAGCUGUGAAAACUCGAGGCUCAACCUCGAGACGUCGGUUGAAACCAUCUGGCUAGAGUCCGGAAGAGGAGAGUGGAAUUCCCGGUGUAGCGGUGAAAUGCGCAGAUAUCGGGAAGAACACCCGUGGCGAAGGCGGCUCUCUGGGACGGUACUGACGCUGAGACGCGAAAGCGUGGGGAGCGAACAGG
rnacentral:rRNA from 1 species